AAGGGCACCCCCGGGAGUGGAGCCUGCGGCUUAAUUUGACUCAACACGGGGAAAUCUUGGCGGCCUGGGUUUUGGGAGGGAUGAUGUAUUGAGAGCUCUUUUCUGACAAGUGGGUGGUGGGACAUGGAAAGUGUUAGCCUGUGGGUGCCUUUGAUGGUUAAUUCCGAUAACGAACGAGACUCUAGCCUAUUAAAUAGGCUCCCGGCUUUUGAACGCCUGGAGGACUUCUUAGAGGGACAGGUGGCGGUUCAGCCGCACGAAAGAGAGCAAUAACAGGUCUGUGAUGCCCUUUGUUGUCCGGGGCCGCACGCGCGCUACACUGAAGAGAUCAGCGUGCUUUAUGUUCCUGCUCCGACCGGAGUGGGGAACCCAGUGAACCUUCUUCGUGAUUGGGAUAGAAGAUUGUAAUUAUUCUUCUUGAACGAGGAAUUCCCAGUAAAUGCGGGUCAUAAGCUCGCGUUGAUUACGUCCCUGCCCUUUGUACACACCGCCCGUCGCUACUACCGAUUGAACGAUUUA
rnacentral:rRNA from 1 species